rnacentral:rRNA from 1 species
GACGAACGCUGGCGGCGUGCUUAACACAUGCAAGUCGAACGGAAAGGCCCUGCUUUUGUGGGGUGCUCGAGUGGCGAACGGGUGAGUAACACGUGAGUAACCUGCCCUUGACUUUGGGAUAACUUCAGGAAACUGGGGCUAAUAUCGGAUAGGAGCUCCUGCUGCAUGGUGGGGGUUGGAAAGUUUCGGCGGUUGGGGAUGGACUCGCGGCUUAUCAGCUUGUUGGUGGGGUAGUGGCUUACCAAGGCUUUGACGGGUAGCCGGCCUGAGAGGGUGACCGGCGACCUGGGGACUGAGAUACGGCGCAGACUCCUACGGGACGCAGCAGUGGGGAGUAUUGCACAAUGGGGGGAAGCCAGAGGCAGCAACGCCGCGUGCGGAAUGACGUCCUUCGGGUUGUAAACCGCUUUGGCCGGUGACGAAGCGUGAGUGACGGUAAUGGGUAAAGAAGCACCGGCUAACUACGUG